AUUGUCUGUGGCUUGUACCGACAUCACGUCAUGCAAUAUUCCCAGGAGCUCUUUGGUGUGAUUAAACAUUAGCUAAACAUUAGGGGCGUUGGCUCUGCUUGGUAGUGGUGCGCGGCUGCUCGUAGUGCUGGGUUCAGUCGUACUUGGCUCCUUGCUUGACGGCUCCGGUUCUGCAUACAUUCUCUUGCCAUGUGGCCCCAUUGCUUGCAGUUAUGGCACUGAAUGUUAGAUCGACCAUUGUAUCGGGACGGUGGGCUUUGCCCCCCAGUUGCUGGCCGGAAUGGUGCGGUUGUGGG